GAUGAACGCUAGCUACAGGCUUAACACAUGCAAGUCGAGGGACCGGCGCACGGGUGAGUAACACGUAUCCAACCUGCCCUUUACUCGGGGAUAGCCUGUCGAAAGAAAGAUUAAUACCCGAUAUAAAGGAUGGGGAUGCGUUCCAUUAGGUUGUUGGUGAGGUAACGGCCCACCAAGCCUUCGAUGGAUAGGGGUUCGGAGAGGAAGGUCCACCGCAUUUGAACUGAGACACAGUCCAAACUCGUACGCGAGGCAGCAGUGAGGGAUAUUGUGCAAUGGGCGGUAGCCUGACCCUGCCAAGUAGCGUGAAGGAUGAAGGGUUUUGGGUCGUAAUCUUCUUUUAUAUAAGAAGAUUUAUUAUAUGAAUAAGGAUCGGCUAACUCCGUGCCAGCAGCCGCGGUAAUUC
rnacentral:rRNA from 1 species